CCUACGGGAGGCUGCAGUGGGGAAUAUUGGGCAAUGGGCGCAAGCCUGACCCAGCAACGCCGCGUGAAGGAAGAAGGCUUUCGGGUUGUAAACUUCUUUUCUCAGAGACGAAGCAGGUGACGGUACCUGAGUAAUAAGCCACUGCUAACUUCCUGCCAGCAGCCGAGGUAAGACGUAGGUGGCAAUCGUUAGCCGUAUUUACUGGGGGUAAAGGGCGUGUAGGCGGGACUGCAAGUCAGAUGUGAAAACCAAGGGCUCAACCAGUGUACUGCAUUUGAAGCUGUAGUUCUUGAGUACUGGAGAGGUAGAUGGAAUUCCUGGUGUAGCGGUGAAAUGCGUAGAUAUUAAGAGGAACACUAGUGGCGAAGGCGGUCUGCUGGAAAGCAACUGACGCUGAGGCGCGAAAGCGUGGGGAGCAAACAGGAUUAGAUACCCUUGUAGUC
rnacentral:rRNA from 1 species